rnacentral:rRNA from 1 species
GACGAACGCUGGCGGCGUGCUUAACACAUGCAAGUCGAACGGAAAGGCCCUGCUUUUGUGGGGUGCUCGAGUGGCGAACGGGUGAGUAACACGUGAGUAACCUGCCCUUGACUUUGGGAUAACUUCAGGAAACUGGGGCUAAUACCGGAUAGGAGCUCCUGCUGCAUGGUGGGGGUUGGAAAGUUUCGGCGGUUGGGGAUGGACUCGGGGCUUAUCAGCUUGUUGGUGGGGUAGUGGCUUACCAAGGCUUUGAGGGGUAGCCGGCCUGAGAGGGUGACCGGCCACAUUGUGACUGAGAUACGGCCCAGACUCCUACGGGAGGCAGCAGUGGGGAAUAUUGCACAAUGGGCGGAAGCCUGAUGCAGCAACGCCGCGUGCGGGAUGACGGCCUUCGGGUUGUAAACCGCUUUCGCCUGUGACGAAGCGUGAGAGACGGUAAUGGGUAAAGAAGCACCGGCUAACUACGUG